GGUUUCGGGCCGCCCUGGCAAUUGCUCCCGCGCCCCCUCCCUUCUCCGUUCACGUCGUAUAUUUUAAUUGACUGAUUAAGGGCGCCACCAGAGGGCGCCCUCAACGCAUUUGUCGCCCUAGGCGGUCGCCUAGCUCGCCUUUGCCGAUCGCCGGCCCUGGAGAAGCCAUACAUCUGGAAGCCAAAUCCUGAGGACGACCUGGGCUCUACCAUCAAGGAUUCCUCACACACCAGAGCUGAACCUCACCUGAUCCUGUUUGGUCAGGGUCAGACUCACCUGAGCUGAACCCCACCUAAUCCUGCUGGUCCUGUCUCCUCAGUUCAUCUUAGCCUCGUCUUCCAGAAGACCUGCUGAACUCAGCGGUCUGAUCCUGAUGGAUCAAUGACCUCCAGUGGGAGUGAUCUUCUUGACCCCACAUGUACCCGUGUGCUUUCACACGCCUUUCCCUCACGUCUGUCACUAACCUCACUACUUCACUAAUCUCUACUCCUUACCUUCUUCUUCCUUCUCCGUGGUUCGAACCUUUACUCUGAAGGAGUGUCUUCUUGAACCUUUACACUGAAGGAGCGUCUUCCUGCCCUCAGAGGGUUUAGCGUUAGGGUUGAGAGUCAGGGUUUAGAGUCAGGGACAGAGCUGGUCAGGGAAGAUGGUUUUACACAAACCCCUUCAUUUGCUUUUGUGAAUGGUGGUGACAUUUUGAAAUUAUUAAUUUGGGACAAUGUUUUCCUCUGCUUUCCUUUACAAAAGUAUGUAUUCAACUUCUGUCAAGUGUUUUUGUUCAUACUGUAUAUUAAAAUCCUACAUUGAC